ACGUCCUUUUAUUUCUCUCCCCCCAAUUCCCUUUUUUUUUCUCGAUUCCACUUUCUUUCUCAGCCAUUCUCAGCCUGUACUUCUGUUUCUCUCUCUCGAUUCCCUUUUCUUUCCCAAUUCCCUUUUCUUUCUCAACCUUUCUCAACCUAUUCUUCUAUUUUAUACCCGAAAAACUUGAUUAGUCUCUCAUUUUUGUUUUUAAUAGGUAAGAGGUAAGCCUAAGCUCUCAUCUCUUCGACUUAGGGUUUAUUGUUUAUCCUCCUCUUAUCAAUUGCUUUGAUUCUUUCCUAAAAUUUCAUCAUUCUCACGCUUUUUAAUGGUGCAUUUCUCAAUUCUUAUCCUCCCUUAUGAUUUCUCGGUUUUCCCCUUAUCUUAUGUUGAAUCUAUCUACUUCUUCUCUUUAUUCGUUUAUUAAUUUAACCGUAAGAAAUAGUUUGCCUCCGAUUUAGAAACAUUGCAUUUCGAGAUCUCAAUUCUUCAAUCCCCGAAAGACAGCUAUCAGUGGACUACUUUUAUCGACUUUGGAUGAUCCUAAUACAAAACUUUGCAUAGUAAUCAGUAUGGCUGUAGCAGCUAUUACAGUCUACGACUGGCCAGAAAGUUAACAAGACUUGUUGCCGUUCCUCUUAAAGUUGAUUGGUGAUCAAACUAGCUUGAAUGGAGGUAACCGAGACUCCAUUUAACAAUUUUCUUUAUUGCUGGAACAAGUCUUAACCAAGAUCAAGAUCAAAGUACUUCACUAAGUUAUAUAUGCAGGCAUUGCAAUACUUUGGCUUCAUCUAAGCUUGAACCAGCCCUCUACUGUAUAUUGUUUCUUCUUCUUUUCUGAUCUUUUUCCUUUGAUUAAUGAGAGGUGAUGAUGAUUUGGCAUUCUUUUCUCACUAGGAUGAAUUUUGUUUUAGAAAUUGUAAUACUUUGUGUCUGUGUGUGGUUUUUUUAUAUAUUAAAUUACAUAUUGAAUCAUUGUUUAUGUAUUAAAUUUAAAUUCAUUAAUUUUUAUAUUUAGUUUUGAAGUUUAAAUUUUAAUGAAAA